rnacentral:ncRNA from 2 species
AUCCAACAUCAAGAGUCGGACCGACGUUCGACACCAACCUGCUCCCGAGCAAGGUGGUGCCUCCUGAAGGAGGGAUGUGGCCGGACCGGCAACAAACGGGACCAAC